rnacentral:rRNA from 1 species
UACGUAGGGACCAAGCGUUGUUCGGAUUUACUGGGCGUAAAGGGCGCGUAGGCGGCAAUUCAAGUCAUCUGUGAAAUCUCCGGGCUUAACCCGGAACGGUCAGAUGAUACUGCUUUGCUAGAGUGCGGAAGGGGCAAUCGGAAUUCUUGGUGUAGCGGUGAAAUGCGUAGAUAUCAAGAGGAACACCUGAGGUGAAGACGGGUUGCUGGGCUGACACUGACGCUGAGGCGCGAAAGCCAGGGGAGCAAACGGG